UACGAAGGGGGCUAGCGUUGUUCGGAAUCACUGGGCGUAAAGCGCACGUAGGCGGAUGUGUCAGUCAGGGGUGAAAUCCCGGAGCUCAACUUCGGAACUGCCUCUGAUACAGCACGUCUUGAGUUCGAGAGAGGUGGGUGGGAUUCCUAGUGUAGAGGUGAAAUUCGUAGAUAUUAGGAAGAACACCGGUGGCGAAGGCGGCAUCCUGGACCAACACUGACACUGAGGAGCGAAAGCCAGGGGAGCAAACGGG
rnacentral:rRNA from 1 species